rnacentral:rRNA from 1 species
GCAGUCGAGGGGUAUAGUUCUUCGGAAUUAGAGACCGGCGCACGGGUGCGUAACGCGUAUGCAAUCUACCUUUUACAGAGGGAUAGCCCAGAGAAAUUUGGAUUAAUACCUCAUAGUAUAGCAGUUUCGCAUGAAACCACUAUUAAAGUCACAACGGUAAAAGAUGAGCAUGCGUCCCAUUAGCUAGUUGGUAAGGUAACGGCUUACCAAGGCUACGAUGGGUAGGGGUCCUGAGAGGGAGAUCCCCCACACUGGUACUGAGACACGGACCAGACUCCUACGGGAGGCAGCAGUGAGGAAUAUUGGACAAUGGGCGCAAGCCUGAUCCAGCCAUGCCGCGUGCAGGAUGACGGUCCUAUGGAUUGUAAACUGCUUUUAUACAGGAAGAAACCCUGGUUCGUGAACCAGCUUGACGGUACUGUAAGAAUAAGGAUCGGCUAACUCCGUGCCAGCAGCCGCGGUAAUACGGAGGAUCCAAGCGUUAUCCGGAAUCAUUGGGUUUAAAGGGUCCGUAGGCGGUUUAAUAAGUCAGUGGUGAAAGCCCAUCGCUCAACGGUGGAACGGCCAUUGAUACUGUUAAACUUGAAUUAUUAGGAAGUAACUAGAAUAUGUAGUGUAGCGGUGAAAUGCUUAGAGAUUACAUGGAAUACCAAUUGCGAAGGCAGGUUACUACUAAUGGAUUGACGCUGAUGGACGAAAGCGUGGGUAGCGAACAGGAUUAGAUACCCUGGUAGUCCACGCCGUAAACGAUGGAUACUAGCUGUUGGGAGCAAUCUCAGUGGCUAAGCGAAAGUGAUAAGUAUCCCACCUGGGG